rnacentral:tRNA from 1 species
GCCUGACUGGCUCAGUGGGUAGAACAUGUGAUUUUUUAAUCUCAGGGUUGUAAGUUCAAGCCCCAUGUUGGGCA